ensembl:lncRNA
GGGCUGGGAUCAACGGGGAUUGUACUGGGAACCACUGGCAACGGGCUGGGAAUCACUGGGGAUCGUGUUGGGAAUUGCCGGGGAUUGUGUCGGGAAUGGCCGGGAAUUCCCAGGAUUGGCGGGAGGAGCUGCCCUGGGCGGGGCCUGGGAGCUCCUGGAGCCGGUGGGGGGAGGGACACGGAGUGCUAGGGGAUCCCAAAUCCCAGGGGAUCCCAAAUCCCAGGAGGGAGCCAAAUCCCAGGGGAUCCCAAAUCCAAGGAGCCAAAUCCCAUGGGAUCCCAAAUCCAAGGAGCCAAAUCCCAGGGGAUCCCAAAUCCCACGGGAUCCCAGAGGGGACCCCCCGGGAAUCCCGAACCUUCCAGCCUGGGGUGAUCCCAAAUCCCCUGGGCUGGCUGGCUGGAUCCAUGGGAUCCCAGAGGAGCAGUCCCUCCCCAUCCCGCCGGGAAUUCCGAACCUUCCAGCCAGGAACGUCCCGCAUGAUCUUGGCCUCCUCCUCCAGGUUCUCCCGCAGCAUCCGGAGCAUCCUGAGGGGAAGGGAAGGGAAGGGAAGGGAAGGGAAGGGAAGGGAUCCAAGGCCCACACUCGGCACCCCCAUCCCAAACUCACAGUCCCAAAGGGAAGUUCCCAAUCCCAAAGGGAAAAUCCCAAUCUCACGGGAAAUUCCCAAUCCCAAAGGGAAGUUCCCAAUCCCAAGCAAAGUUCCCAAUCCCAAAGGAAAUUCCCAGUCCCAACGAGAAGUUCCUAACCCCAAGGGAAGUUCCCAAUCCCAAGGGAAAUCCCAAAUGAAAUUCCCAAUCCCACGGGAAGUUCCCAAUCCCAUAGAGGAAGUUCCCAAUCCCAAAUGAAAUUCCCAAUCCCAGGGAGUUCCCAUCCCGCACCUGCGGUC